GUUCUCUGGAGGCUGCUAAUGGUGAAAUCUGCAGUCUAAACACAGCAGUGUUUGUUCAUGCGCCAACAGUGUUUUCCAGUUCAAAUUGCUGCUUUUUUUCUUUUCUGAAAAUACACCAGAGUAACUGCGUCUGCUCUCCCUCACCUAGGCUAGACAGGAUAAACCAAGCGGUAACACCAAGCAAUGCCAAGAAGACUGAAAAUUAUAGAAGAUGCUCUCUGCUUUAUGGAUUUUGGAGAUACCACCACGGUUACAGAACAUUUAGCCACCAAAUACUGCACAAUGGAACUUUUCCUGCUGUGGAAGUAUGAUUUGGCCACAAUUCCUGCUGCAGUGUCCGUGGGUCUACCCAGCUGCUCCACCUGAAGUAGAGGAGGUAAGUCCAGGAGAAAGGAAUGAACCAGACACCACCUGAUCUUUAAAGAAAUUACGUGCAAAGAGAGGCAGAGAUUUGGCCCUUAAUGACUUUAAUUCGUUUCACUUAGCUGCCAGUAG